CACGUAGGGUGCGAGCGUUGUCCGGAAUUAUUGGGCGUAAAGAGCUCGUAGGCGGUGUGUCGCGUCGGCCGUGAAAACCUGCAGCUUAACUGUGGGCUUGCGGUCGAUACGGGCAUCACUGGAGUUCGGCAGGGGAGACUGGAAUUCCUGGUGUAGCGGUGAAAUGCGCAGAUAUCAGGAGGAGCACCGGUGGCGAAGGCGGGUCUCUGGGCCGAUAUUGACGCUGAGGAGCGAAAGCCAGGGGAGCAAACGGG
rnacentral:rRNA from 1 species